rnacentral:lncRNA from 1 species
AUGGAGGGUAUAAUUGUCCAAAAAGCAGAGUAGGAGUUUAUUUCGUGGACAAAUAUUUAAGGGCAAGUAGGAGUUUUUUUGGUGGACGGAGGGAGUAUUUUUUUAUUAUUUUUUAAUUAAUAUUCUAUUUUAUUAUUAUUUUUAAAUUACUGAGAAUAUUUUAAAAUUUAUUGUUAUUUUCAACAAUAAUAUAUAUUUUUUUAAUUAACGAUAAUAUUAAAUUUUUUUAUUAUUUUAAAUUCGAUUAUAUAUUUAUCGUCAUUCUUUCGUCGGCACCAC